rnacentral:rRNA from 1 species
UACAGAGGUCUCAAGCGUUGUUCGGAUUCAUUGGGCGUAAAGGGUGCGUAGGCGGCGCGGUAAGUCGGGUGUGAAAUCUCGGAGCUUAACUCCGAAACUGCAUUCGAUACUGCCGUGCUUGAGGACUGGAGAGGAGACUGGAAUUUACGGUGUAGCGGUGAAAUGCGUAGAUAUCGUAAGGAAGACCAGUGGCGAAGGCGGGUCUCUGGACAGUUCCUGACACUGAGAUACGAAGGCCAGGGGAGCAAACGGG